rnacentral:rRNA from 1 species
GACGAACGCUGGCGGCGUGCUUAACACAUGCAAGUCGAGCGGUAAGGCCCUUUCGGGGGUACACGAGCGGCGAACGGGUGAGUAACACGUGGGUGACCUGCCCUCAGCUCUGGGAUAAGCCUGGGAAACCGGGUCUAAUACUGGAUAUGACUCCAUGACGCAUGUUGUGGGGUGGAAAGCCUUGUGCGGCUGAGGAUGGGCCCGUCGGCCUAUCAGCUUGUUGGUGGGGUGAUGGCCUACCAAGGCGACGACGGGUAGCCGGCCUGAGAGGGCGACCGGCCACACUGGGACUGAGACACGGCCCAGACUCCUACGGGAGGCAGGCAGUGGGGAAUCUUGCGCAAUGGGCGAAAGCCUGACGCAGCGACGCCGCGUGAGGGAU